ensembl:lncRNA
CGAUAAUAGAAAAUAUAGGUAAUGAUAGUUUGUCACCUGUGUAAUAUAUAAACAUAUGCAAAUUGCAAAACAAUGUAAAGUAAAUAACAUAACAUAACCCGCAGGGAGAACACUUUUUAGGGGCCAUUCCGAAAGAAAGAGAAUUUUAGAGUGGGAGAAAAGGCUCCAAAGCCACUUAUUGCUCACCUACGGAGGCGACAUUGCCCUCUCGUUGCCACGGUCUAAGAAGGCCUGUAGCUCCGUGUCUGACUCCCUCCUGGAGCAGCUGGACGCUGUAGGGUCGGGCCGCGGCUCCCUCCCUUGGAAGGGAUCUGGGGACGGACCUCUGGGAUGGUUGCGACCCCAAGACGCCCUCCUUAGCCGGGUCGCUGGAGUCACUGGAUGCAGGCUCUGGCGUUUUGGCUGCCUUGGUCUUCCUCAUACUGGGAAUAAAUAAGUGUAAGAGUUGUCAUGAUGACAAGCACAGUCGAACACCAUGAUUCUGAACAAGGAUGGAGGCAAAGUUAUCACAAUUAAAAUAAAACAUUUAUUCAAAUAAAAUGUGCGUAAAAAUAUAACUAUUUGCUACUAUAGAUAAUACAAAAACUAUAAUUGAAUAACAAAAUUAAAAGAAUUCUGUAAACCGUAAUACCAGCGACUGAAGCAUGAUCAGCCUAUACUAUACAUUAUUAUCUACUCUGGUUUCUGUCAGAAAAAUGUUGUCAUCCACUCACUGACAGUCGUAGCGUAGGCAUAUGUAACGUACCGUUAGAAUAGCGUGGUUCUCGCCUCUGUGGUGCUGCAUGUGGUGAGGGAAGCAGCACACGGUGUACCAGCACCCAUCAGGGCAAACUAAAAGCUUUUUAUAGACUAUAUCUGACAGCCCAGCGAUGGCCAUACCUAGCUAACAAGGCUAGCGACAAGGUUUUCAUACCCUAGCUGUUUCUAAAUUCCCUAAAAGGAGAGGUAAUUUAAUAACUUGUAUUGCACGCCCCUUAUCUCUCUAAACCCCCCCUUCUCUCCUCUCUCUCUCUGUCUCUGUCUCUCUCUUUCUCGCUUACUCUCUCUUCUCUCUCUCUCUUUCUCUCACUGAUUCUCUCUUUCUUUCUGACUCUUUUUCUUUCUGACUCUCUUUUUCUAUCUCUCUCUUUCUCUAUCUCUUUCUCCCACUGAUUCGCUCUUUCUCUCAGUCUCUCUCUUUCUCUCACUCUCUCUUAUUUCUAUCUCUCUUUCUCACACAAAUUUUCUUUCUCUAAUCUGUCCUCCUCCUCUCUCCUGUAUAAAGGAUUCUCCCUCCCUCCCUCCCUCCCUCCCUCCCUCUCUCCCCCUCUAUCUCUAUCUCCCACUCUAUCUCUUUUUCCCUCUCUAUCCCCUCCCUCACUAUCUCGAUUAUAUUAUGGUGGUGGUAUAGUCUGACUGUCAGCAGAGUUAAAGAGAGAAAGAGAGAGUGAAAGAGAGAGACAGAGAAAGAGAGACAGAGAUAGAGAGAGAGAAUGAAUACUUCAUUCUUUCACCCACAGGAGGACAUUCCUUGAGUGUGUGUGUUUGUGUGUGUGUGCGUUGUUCUGUAGACUGCUACUGUAACAUUGUCACGCUACUCUACAUUUUGCAGAUCUUGCAUUAUAUAUAUAUUUGAACUUGAACUUGUAAUGGUCUGGGACUCUGAUAAUUCUACUACUACUAUUACUACUACUACUAGUUCUAAUAAUACUACAACCACUACUACAAACUAAUAAUAAAUAAUGCCUUUGCAGUGAUGGAAUAUAGUUCUAAAAGAUUGAAUCAUGGCCGUUUUAUGCUUAUAAAAACAUCACAUUCUUCCACCUAAUGAAUAGUCAGAUUGCUAGCUCCCUCUCAAACAAUACGAGUUAUGUAUCAAGGCAAACAACAUAUAUUCACGUUUCCAGACCAAACAACCUAUAAUUCCAUCCAUGAGUUACAUUCUUAGGGACCUGGAAAUCUGAGUAUAUUUUAAUGCACUUUGAGAAUCCUAUGCAAACC